rnacentral:rRNA from 1 species
UACGUAGGGGGCGAGCGUUGUCCGGAUUUAUUGGGCGUAAAGAGCUCGUAGGCGGCUAGGUAGGUCCGUUGUGAAAACUCGAGGCUCAACCUCGAGACGUCGAUGGAAACCAUCUAGCUAGAGUCCGGAAGAGGAGAGUGGAAUUCCUGGUGUAGCGGUGAAAUGCGCAGAUAUCAGGAAGAACACCCGUGGCGAAGGCGGCUCUCUGGUACGUGACUGACGCUGAGACGCGAAAGCGUGGGGAGCGAACAGG